rnacentral:rRNA from 1 species
AGAGUUUGAUCCUGGCUCAGAUUGAACGCUGGCGGCAGGCCUAACACAUGCAAGUCGAGCGGAUGAAGGGAGCUUGCUCCUGGAUUCAGCGGCGGACGGGUGAGUAAUGCCUAGGAAUCUGCCUGGUAGUGGGGGAUAACGUCCGGAAACGGGCGCUAAUACCGCAUACGUCCUGAGGGAGAAAGUGGGGGAUCUUCGGACCUCACGCUAUCAGAUGAGCCUAGGUCGGAUUAGCUAGUUGGUGGGGUAAAGGCCUACCAAGGCGACGAUCCGUAACUGGUCUGAGAGGAUGAUCAGUCACACUGGAACUGAGACACGGUCCAGACUCCUACGGGAGGCAGCAGUGGGGAAUAUUGGACAAUGGGCGAAAGCCUGAUCCAGCCAUGCCGCGUGUGUGAAGAAGGUCUUCGGAUUGUAAAGCACUUUAAGUUGGGAGGAAGGGCAGUAAGUUAAUACCUUGCUGUUUUGACGUUACCAACAGAAUAAGCACCGGCUAACUUCGUGCCAGCAGCCGCGGUAAUACGAAGGGUGCAAGCGUUAAUCGGAAUUACUGGGCGUAAAGCGCGCGUAGGUGGUUCAGCAAGUUGGAUGUGAAAUCCCCGGGCUCAACCUGGGAACUGCAUCCAAAACUACUGAGCUAGAGUACGGUAGAGGGUGGUGGAAUUUCCUGUGUAGCGGUGAAAUGCGUAGAUAUAGGAAGGAACACCAGUGGCGAAAGCGACCACCUGGACUGAUACUGACACUGAGUGCGAAAGCGUGGGGAGCAAACAGGAUUAGAUA